CGAAGGGGCUAGCGUUGUUCGGAAUUACUGGGCGUAAAGCGCACGUAGGCGGAUAUUUAAGUCAGGGGUGAAAUCCCAGAGCUCAACUCUGGAACUGCCUUUGAUACUGGGUAUCUUGAGUAUGGAAGAGGUAAGUGGAAUUGCGAGUGUAGAGGUGAAAUUCGUAGAUAUUCGCAGGAACACCAGUGGCGAAGGCGGCUUACUGGUCCAUAACUGACGCUGAGGUGCGAAAGCGUGGGGAGCAAACAGGAUU
rnacentral:rRNA from 1 species